GCUCCCCCUGAACUCAGCGUGCUUGUAAACCAAAUUGGUUACAACAGGCGGUGACGUGGUUUUCUUGUUUGACUCCUGCCGUGUUUCUAAGUUUUCACGUGAUUUUGUUUGACUCUGCCAGACCAGGUUGGGAGCUCCAUCAUCAUCUUCUUCCUCGCCAACGUAUAUCAAAUGCAGUUCUUCGGCCCAGCAAAGCGCCUGAGGAGGAGGAGCCAGCGAGGAGCCAGGGGUGAGCAGCCCUUUGCUUUAUGAACCACAGUGUGGGACCUCUCUCCCAUGCCUCUCCCCUGGAUGGGGGCUCCAUCUCGAUUGCUCACAUCUCAGGAUGAGCCACGUUUCUCCUUGUGAGACGGUAAAUGACAUUCAAGAAAUAACCUUGAGUCUUAAAAGCCCUCCAGAAGAAACGCUGCUCGGGUUGGGUGGCGACUUCUGGCAAGCGUUCAGUAGUUGUCAUCAUCAUCAUCAUUACCACUGAAGAAUGGGCGGUGUGAGUCAUCAAGGCACAAGUCAGACAGACUUGUCUAGGAGCCCCCGUGACUGAAUCAAGCUGCUAUCCUCUCUAGGUCCAGUUCCUCACCUGUAACAUAAAAUUUUAAAUGAUACGUGUGGCUCGCAUUAUAGUUCUUUUGGACAGCGCUGGCCUGUGGGACGGUGUAAAGAUUAAGAAUGCAGCUAUGAGAGUCCAACUGCCUGAAUUCUGUUAAAGGAAAAAUUAUUCUGACACUUGUUAAAGUGCCACGUGGCCAUUUUCACCAGGAAACAAAACUCCCACCAUGUCAUGAGUUGCACAAAGCUGGGAUGCUGGUGGUCAUCUCUGCGCCUGCCCCAGCUACGAGGACCGCUCAUCCUCAACAGCCCUGAGACAGACACUGUCAAAAGUUGUGCCUCAUCAAAAUGGCAAGUGGCUGCAGGUCACAGACCUUUAAAUCCUUCAGAGUUAAUUUGUCAAUGCCAAGGUCAUAGUGGAUUUAAAAUAGUUCCCUCUCUCUCUCUCCUUCCCUCUCCACCCCACGCCCCCAAUUUGAAAUACUUGGUGACCCCAGAAUGAGCAGAUUAAAGGGAACAUUUGUCAUGGGCAGACAUGGCAGGCCAGGACCAUUGGCCAAAGCUGGGCCAUUCAACAUUUGUCAUUGUUGGGAUGGGCAGCCUAAAUCUCCAGUGAGGAGAUUUAGAAUUCUCCACAGAAAAGAGAAAUCCAUCUCUUUUCCAGCAAUCUAGCUCAUCCUAUUAGAAAGGCCUUAAAACCACAUCAAAACAGAGACAGCUGAAUAUGACACCCAGGCUCACGUGGACGAAGUCGGCUCUAUCUAUUGGACCCAGAUGUCAAUUUUGUUAAGAGGUCAGGCUCUUAUCUUUGGGAAGAAGUUUUCUGAGCAAUCCCGUGCCCAGCAGAGACCUCGAGUAAGCCAAAACUGGUAAGGAACUGUCCCUUUGGUUCUCUGCCCCACCUCUCUAAACUUCCCCUUUCCUCAGUAGCUAGAGCCUUCAUGCAAGUGGUUCUGUGAUUUCAAUGCCCAUUAGAAUCACCCAGAAUGUCUGUUUAAAAUGCAAGUUCCAGGGGCCAGCCCCGUGGCUGUUAAGUUCGUGCAUUCUGCUUUGACAGCCUGGGGUUCGUCUGUUCGGAUCCUGGGCACAGACCUACAUACCACUCAUCAAGCCAUGCUGUGGUGGCAUCCCACACAGAAGAACU
rnacentral:lncRNA from 1 species